UGUCAAGGAAUGCUGAUACGUACAGAAGCAGCUUUGUCUGCCUCAACUGCACCCCUACCUGGUGAAAUGACAGUCAAUCUCUGAUUCCAGAUGACAAGAACUGGAUAAAAACUUAAAACAAAUAGAUUACUAUGUACACCCCAAGUGAAACAGUAAAGAAUGAAACUAUGAUUUGUGAAGUGUGGUUGCUACCCAACUAAGUUAGUGGAAAACACUGCAUAACAUAUGACUCAUAAAAUCUAGAAAUCAU
rnacentral:lncRNA from 1 species